CUGCUGCUCUUCUCCUUCUUUCAUUGUGUCUUUCUUUCUCGCUUCCAUCUGGUUUUCCGCCCUUCUAACGUAAUUAGCAAAUUGCUUCAAUUUGUUUUCGUCAAUCAAUUGUUGGUUUUAUGCAAUUUAAAGUGUUGCGAUUCUGGAGUUGAUCACCCAUACUACUAUUUAGUGGUUUAUCAAUUCCAAGGACAGUAAGGACUCUGUUAUUAACCUACUACUCUCCUCAGGAACUACAGGAGAUCCGAAAGACAUUCCUUUCAGUCAUCUGACUCCUAUUCUAUGGCUUUAAUCUUUUUUUAAUCAAUUCGCGAUAGCUUGGCAAAGAAGGAGACGGACACAGGAUGAAAACGAUGAAUGUUGUGAUGGAUGAGAUAAAGAUGGAACAAUUAGUAGAAAUUGAAGAGCAAAAAAUGGGUCUAUGACUAUUUAGUUGAUUACAAAGGAUAGAGUUCCUCGCAGGGCUUCAACUUGUGGCUGGAAAGCCUCUUUUUGAUUAUUGGUAAGAAUUCGUCUAACAAAUGUCACAAGCACACAAUAGUUUCACUUUCCUUUACGUCUCAAAUCUCAAGAACAAAAGCAAAGUUUAUGGAUUUAUCUUGACAGUAUAA